UUUGCUUUGUUUAAUAUCUUGUUUCCAGUUCCACCACCUCUAACUAGCCCUCCCAGGUCUCUGUCUCUCACUCUUGGAUCUUCAGUAUCAAUAAUUAAUUUCCUCAAAUCUUCUGUUUACAUUGGUCACUGUUCCAUUUUCUACUCUAAAUCAGGUUGUCUCUGCUCUCUGUGUUGUAAUUCCUUAUUUUUUCUUUAGGUUACUGAUAUGCUAUUUGUUCCUUCAUUGUAUAUUAAUAUCUGCCCCAACCCAUAAUCAAUUCCCAUGGUACUAUCAUUUAAGUGAAGAAACCAAAAUGUAAUUUGGAUGGAGUUUUAGUGCACAAUUGAUUCUAAAUAUGAAAUUGAUAAUGUGAGUAUGUAGUUUCUAGAUUUCAUAAUUGAUUUUGAGAAAAGAAAAACUGAUCCAGUCUAGACUUGAUGCUAAAAUAUGGAUUUGCAAGUUUAGCUCAAUGCUACAGGAAAUUUCUAGAAGAGCUUAAAGUUUUUUUGGGUGUAUGCUGAGGAGAAAGGGAACAAACUGAUUGUCAUUCCUAAAGUGAGCAAAGCAGGUGUCAGAGUCAAAAUCAAGGUUAGUCUUUUAUGAAGAUAAUUUUCUGGACAGUUUAAGAAGUAGGAGGAGAUUGAUGGUCACAACCUUUGAUGAUUGGUGAAACAGAAUCUACAGUCCAAACAUCCUCCAACUGGACCUUCAUCAAGAGUUUAAGAUCAAUUUACUAAAAUUGUUUUCAUGAAUUCAAAUAGGGACAAAUUAAUCAUGAUUGCCAUUGUUUGAAAACAUGUUUAUAUCACCUUAUUUUUACAUGGAAACAAUUCUAGCACUCAGAAACUACACGUAUAAGCUUCUUCCUCGAAUUGAUUAUCAUGACGUACUUUAGAAUCAAUUUUAGAUAGAAGGUUGGGCUAGCAAGUUAAUAGCCUUUUUCUUUGAUCAUAUGAACAAUAAUUAAGACUAUAGAGGUCUUGUCUAGGAUAUGAUACUCAUGAACUAGAGAUAUACAUCCUUUUAGGUUUAUCAAGAGACAGAAGGAUUUAGAUAUUACAUGAGUACUGCUGUUCAGAUUUUACUUGUACUGUGUUUGGUUGUGGAGAGAGAGAUAGAGAAGAGAGAGUAAAGAAGAGAGAAGUUGAGUUGAGAGAAAUAUGUGAGAAAUAAUGUGAAUGUAAGAGGUUGUUUGGUAUGAUAGAGAUAAAUGAGAGAAAUGAGAAAGAAUGAAGUGGAAGAGAGAAAAUAAAAUUAACUUUUGAUUAAUUUUUUUUUAAAAGUAAGAAAGUGACGGUUUUAUGCGAUUUAAAACCGCAACUAAUAGGGCAGAGAGAGAAAAAAAAGGUAAACAAUGCAAUCCAUAUUACUAUUCCCCUUCUCUCCAAAUUGGAGAGACCCCAUAAAGGGGUGGCCCCACCUCGGUAGCCCCCUUCUCUCUCUCACACCAAACACGGUAAGUUUUCACACCCUCUCUCUAUCUCUCUUCCUCUCAUCUCUUUCUACCCUAACUCUCCCCAACCAAACACAGUGUUAGUGUUCCGACUAGGAUGGAGAAAAUAAUAUAUGCAUUGAUUUUGUUGAAGAGAUGAGCAGGGGGGAUUAAUAUCAAUUUGAGAGAAAAAUGAAAAGAGAAAGAAGUUCCUUCAAUUUUUCUUAGAGCAACUCCAACCCACAAUUUCUUAUUUGGUUUCUUAACACACUAUUCGGCACUAUUUUACACUAUUCCGGUGGGUCCGUACUGCCACAUCAGACUUAAGGAACUCUUAAGGAGCUGAAGUAGAUUUUGCUCUAACCCAUGGUUUCUUAAAUUACUAUUUGAAGGGUCCCACUAUACAACAUAAAUUAAUAAUAUUUAUUUUCACCCAAUUUAAAUUUAAAAUUUAAUACUAAAUCAAUAUUUCAACUUAAAAAUAAUUUAAUUAAUAUUUAUACGAAUUUAAUUUAAAUUUAAUUUUACUAAAUAUUUAAAAUAAUUAAAUUUAAAAAAAAAACCGGUCUAACCGGUUAAACCACCCCUAAACGGGCAGAAACCGGCUAUAACCGGUCAAUAACGGUGGGCUGACCUGCUAAGCAGGUCACCCACUAUAUAAACCUUCUUUUCCUCCUCACUCUCCAUAACCCUAGCCGCACCAUCUUCUUCUUCCUCUCCUCUUCUCCCUUCACGCCUCCUGUUCUCUCCCUUUCUUCCUCCUUUCUUCUCCUCUUUUCUUCUUCUUCCUCCCCUCUUCUCUUCUUCCUCUGCAAUCUCCGGCGAUACCCUUCUCCGGCCAUCUCCACCCCUCUCCCUCCUCUCUCUCUCUCUCUCACCCACUCGCUCUCUCCUCUCAUAUUCGCUCUCUCCUCUAGCUCUCACUCAAACAACCACCACCGCCCCCAUAAAACCACGCACACUCUCCAACGGCCUCCAAACAACAACCACCGCCACCAAACAACUACAUGCAGUCACCCCCGGCCACCAAACAAUCACCACCGCCACUAUAGAGCCUCGAUCCGCCCCAAACCGGCCACUUCACCAGAUCGGAGGAAAUGAGGUCCCUUUUGACACAUGCACUGCAAGAUUGGAACUUCAUUGUUUGUAUUUUUUUUUUCUCUAGGUCUGUUCUGUAAUAUUGAAAAAAUUAAUAAUAAUUUUUUUUUCAAUUUCA